rnacentral:misc_RNA from 1 species
GGAGAGGAUGCUUAUUAGUUGAUUUAUUUGAUAAGUAUCUAAGUAUACAUGUCAAGAAGUUAACGGUAAUCAAGGAAAUAAAAGAACCUUUGGUUCGUUUAUCUUCUUGUACUCACUGCACUCUGUAUUAUAUAAAUGUAGGAGUUUAGAGUUUAAGGCUCACAUAAAGGUUCAAGUCCUUAUCCUCCACCACGCUGUUCUAUGCUUCUGAGGCACAGCCUCAGAACACAGAGGGUAACAGCACAAGAUCUUUGACAUAUUGACACAAGCAAGACUGUAAUGUAGAACUAUUCUUUCUAUAAUGGGAAGAAUUAGAAUUCUAAUUAUUGAAGAAAAAACUUCAAAUUCUUUAGAAUCACACAACAGCUGAAAGUAUGAGCUACAUUCUUUGUAAGCAAUUACAAAGAAGGCGAAGAAAGUAAGAAAGGGC